UACGUAGGGUGCAGGCGUUAAUCGGAAUUACUGGGCGUAAAGCGUGCGUAGACGGCUAUCUAAGUCGGGUGUGAAAGCCCCGGGCUCAACCUGGGAAUUGCAUUCGAGACUGAAUAGCUAGGGUACGGUAGAGGGAAGUGGAAUUUCCGGUGUAGCGGUGAAAUGCGUAGAUAUCAGGAGGAACACCGAUGGCGAAGGCAGGUCUCUGGGCCACUACUGACGCUGAGAAGCGAAAGCAUGGGGAGCGAACAGG
rnacentral:rRNA from 1 species